CGAAAUGCGAUAAGUAAUGUGAAUUGCAGAAUUCAGUGAAUCAUCGAAUCUUUGAAUGCACAUUGCGCCCGCCAGUAUUCUGGCGGGCAUGCCUGUCCGAGCGUCAUUUCAACCAUCAAGCCCCCGGGCUUGUGUUGGGGACCUGCGGCUGCCCGCAGGCCCUGAAAACCAGUGGCGGGCUCGCUGUCACACCGAGCGUAGUAGCAAUCACCUCGCUCAGGGCGUGCUGCGGGUUCCGGCCGUUAAACAGCCUUACAAAACCCAAGGUUGACCUCGGAUCAGGUAGGAAGACCCGCUGAACUUAAGC
rnacentral:misc_RNA from 1 species